CCUGAAACACUAAUAGACUACAUUAUCUAAUUACAUCAGGAAAAGUAUUUGUAAUGGAUACAUUUCGGGCUUGGGCUGUAAUUUAAGACUGAAUGAUGAAUUCAUUAUUUAAUUAGCUGAUUUCGAUUUGAAUAUCUCACUAGCAGAUUCGAAAUAAUUCGCAAUGACAAAACGCCAAGGCCUUGUUGUUCUCACUAUUACAUUCUCAUCAAUCAAUGCAUUUUUAUCUUCAAGACAGCACAGAUUAACUUUGAAAGUCCCUUUCUUCUUUUGAAAUAAUUGCGUAUUUAUAGUUUUUUCGAGCAUUUAUUUAUUUUAUUCGUUCUAAUAAAAGCUCCGAGAUCUUAUCAAGCGCAGUCCCCUGCUGUUUUAUGAAUUUUCAGCUUGCUUUGAAGCAUUUCCCAAGGACAUAAAAUAUUAUAGCUUUAAAAACCAGAAGUCCAAAGCUGCAGCCGCUCCAAAUGGAAUACACGUGUUUCAGCAAGUUUGUAAUAAACCAGGAUUGGAAUCGUACGGUUACUUAUUCAAGCAACAAAUGCGUUCUGACCGAAAUACGUCGAUUUGAGCAAUUUUAAUUGGAUGCGAGUAGUUUUCAGCUCGCAACUCUUGAAUAACAGGAUAGUCGUUUUUUGGCAAUUACAGAACGUGUUGUUCAGUAAGUUAUUAAAAGCAGGUUCCAGUCGAAAGUCUUUCAACAACAAUUAAGUUCGUCCUGAAACUGUCGCACGCAUAAAUUUCGAGGAGACUUCAACGACAGGCGAGACGAGAA